CUAAAUCGCACCGUUUCGAAAAUUGACGGUCGGUCUUCCCCUUCUUCAUCAAUUACCAUUAACCAUACUUCUCCAAAAGAAUCUACAAUCAAAUUAUACCUUCACAAGCACAUCAACUGCUUAACAGAGGUCCGAUCACAAAAUGGACUAGAAGCAUUUUCAGUCAUUGGAGCAAAAGAUAAAUCAUUAUCAUCGUUAAUUGUGACAGGGUGUUGAUUUGUGCCGGAGGGUCACAAUAGAAGCAUCAAGUUCAAUUGAUGUUAGUGACGGUGGCUCUGCACCUAGGUUUGUCCAUCUUUUCGUUUACGUUAUUGCAUAAAAGUUUAUAUAUCUGUAAUUUUGAUUUUUUCCCUGAAUUGAUCAAGAUUUUUUUUUUGUUGAGUUGUAUAAGGGUCACAAAUCCGCAACAAUGUGUUGUAUCGCCUCCCAUAAAGCACUGAUGUUAUUGCCAGGGGACUGAGGUGCGCCUUUUUCCCCUUUGGGAUUUAAGAUGAUUUUGUAGAAAUGUGCUUACCGGACAUGCCUUAGCAAGUGUAUUUUAAUUGAAAUUUUAGCGUCCGUGUUUACGUAGUUGCUUCGGUGAUUAUCAAAUUUUCAACCUCAAAAUGCACCUUUUGGUUUCUGCUUUGAAAGUUCCUAUUUAAGAAAUAAUAUUUUGUUGUAGUUAGCCUCAGAAAUACUCUUCUAAUGAACCUGUAGAAACAAUCAAUUGUGAAAAGAGAAUAAGCUAGCCAAGGGAUAACACGAUCAAAUUUUGUCUCUGAUAAAGAUAAGCUACACCAACUUAAAACAGUAGGAUACUUUAAGAUGCACAUUUUGGUUUCUAUGUGUGAUAGAUAAAGCAGGGACAUAUGCCCAGUGAUGUGGCGGUGGCGCUCUAAAAUACUAAGAAACCUAUUUAUCUAUUUUUUUUUUAAAUUUCCUUUUAAGGGUUUCCGUCCCUUCUCCUCCUCACUAAACCAAACUAUCUUCACUUAAAAGGCAUCGUUUCUGGAGAGAAACAAACUAAACGUCUCUUUCAACAGGUAAUUUCAACACCUCCUAUCAAGUCUCUCAUCCGUUCCUUCCACUCCGUUUUCUCACUUACAAAACAAAAUAUUUCUCUUUGAUCUCUUCUUCCUCACUAAAGUGAGAGCCAAAAUUUCUUCCUUGCUGUUAGUUAAUUGUACCAAACAAAUUUGCAUGUUUUGGUGAUUUUGUUGCCGCUUGGUGGGAGAUUUAAUUAUUCUUGUGAUCAGUAAAGAAAAAGUUUGAUGAAUACGGGCAAUGCCCUUCAUGAAUUUUCGUUUGUCUUUUACCUAAGUUCUUUGUGUGGAAUUAUCAGCGGCCACCUCAUCGAAUGCUUCGAGUGAAGCGCCAUCCCAAAACAAAAAGUACCCAAGAGACCUACGAAAAGUGUAGGUCUUUCUCCAUGAUCAGGUCUGCUAUGUGAUUCGGCUUCAUUUUUCCCUCUUCUUAAUUGUCCCUGAUUGGGUUAUGACGACAAGUUUGAAACUUUAUGUGUUAGAAGGUAAGAUUUGAGAUCAACUGGUCUAUUUCCUAUUUAUUUAACGUGAACAUUCUAUUUUCAUUCAGCUAUGGAGAUUUUUAGUUUUUGUUCCAGAUCUUUUGAAGAUCUACAAGAGCCGUUUUCCGAUUUGAGAUAUGAAAUUUUGUACUCUGGAUUUGGUGAAGAAAAUUAUCAUUUGGGUAGAAUUUUGUUGGGUCAAUUAUCAAAAAUGCCGCUCAAUUUUAUUCAAAUUCAAGAAAUGUUCUUGCAGAAAAGUUUGCUUUGAUCCGAGAAAUCCUCGAUGAAUAUCCUUACAUUGAUAUGGAAAUAGAUUUGUUAACUCCUCCUUAAUGACUAAUCACACUCUAUCUUCACGUGACUCCAAGUCUAAUCGUCCCUUCCAAGACAUCCCCUCUAACUUCCCUAUUUCCAAAGAAAGAAAGAAAAGGUCGUAAGCUCUCUUUAAAGCCAUCAAUUCUCCAACUCUAAAAUUCAGUUAGAUUUUUUUUUUUUUUGGUAUUAUUAGGAUGUUGUCAAGUUGUUGUUUCAUUUCUUGUAUUGUUGUUCUUGAUUUAGUUCGCAUUAUUUUUUAACUACAUGGCUUGACUAAAGUAUUGCUUCAUUAGGAACUUCUUUACCACAAAGAGAAGCUUCCUUAGAAUGGUGAUUGAUAUGGAAAACUCAGAUUGCAGAGAAUCUAGGAUCUGUGUACUUUUGGUUAAUUUUUGAGAUGAGAUACAAUGAAACUUUCUAGCUUAUGAGGAAUUAAUUAAAUAACGGGAUCUGUUGCAGGAUAUUCUCUUUUUGUUCUUUCCGUUGCCUUUCUAUUGACGACUCUAUUUAGUCUACAAAUAGAUUGGUGAAAAACUGAAAAUAUGGAACAGCAUCUUAUUAUAUUUCAUUAAGGUUGAUGCUACUUUUUUAUGUAUUCAAGCGUGACAAGAUGACAUUUUGUGAAGUAAAGUUUUUGUCAAUGUAAGUUGCUUCAUCAAUGAAAUAACAUGGUAGCUCUUUUAGUUUUACGGAAUUGGUGUUUAUUCAUUGAGAUGUGCAGCCCAUGUUGUAUCCAUCUGAUCCUCUAUUUGGUCAUUAUUACCAAGUUUUCGGUAUUUCGGUCUUACCGCUUGAACAAUGUCUUAUCAGUCAUCAGCAAUAUUAGUGAACUUUUUGACCAUGGAAGAGAAAUAAAUAAAACUUGGAAGUAUUGGAUUAUUUCAGCAAACUCUUAUUAGGUUCAACUGUACUUUGUUAUAAAUGUUUUUAAAAUAAUCGAUUAGAAUACGUUUGGAAACCAAAUGUUGAAGCAAAGAAGGGGGAAGAGUUUGAAGCCCAGGACAAAAGAACAUGGUAAGCUUCAAAUUGUUCUAACAAAGUUGUAGAAAAUGGAGUUAAUAAAAGGUCCAGUGAUUUGCUCGCCAAAUGAAAAAUACUCUGUUAAGAGACUUUGCUCACCGCCUAUGCUUUCUUUGGAUAUACUUGAAGCAUGUCAAAUCUACAUUUAGUUCAACAACUAUGUUUUUGUACUUAUUACUAAUUAAUAUGUUAUCUCUACAUGGAGAAAAAUACACUUAGUUAAAAGGUGGAGAUGAUGUCAUUGACUUCAGGCUCGAAAAAUUUUUGAUCUCCGUGAUCUUUAAUCUUUGUUAACGAAAAUAAUGUACACCAUGAAGUAAAAUAAUCAGUAAUUUUUUGUGCAUAUAAAAAUAUAGUGAGUAAUGCUUGACUAUUUCACGACAAAUUAUUCAAUAUU